rnacentral:rRNA from 1 species
GUCGAGGGGCAGCAUGAACUUAGCUUGCUAAGUUUGAUGGCGACCGGCGCACGGGUGAGUAACACGUAUCCAACCUGCCGAUGACUCGGGGAUAGCCUUUCGAAAGAAAGAUUAAUACCCGAUGGCAUAGUUCUUCCGCAUGGUAGAACUAUUAAAGAAUUUCGGUCAUCGAUGGGGAUGCGUUCCAUUAGGUUGUUGGCGGGGUAACGGCCCACCAAGCCUUCGAUGGAUAGGGGUUCUGAGAGGAAGGUCCCCCACAUUGGAACUGAGACACGGUCCAAACUCCUACGGGAGGCAGCAGUGAGGAAUAUUGGUCAAUGGACGAGAGUCUGAACCAGCCAAGUAGCGUGAAGGAUGACUGCCCUAUGGGUUGUAAACUUCUUUUAUACGGGAAUAAAGUGAGGCACGUGUGCCUUUUUGUAUGUACCGUAUGAAUAAGGAUCGGCUAACUCCGUGCCAGCAGCCGCGGUAAUACGGAGGAUCCGAGCGUUAUCCGGAUUUAUUGGGUUUAAAGGGAGCGUAGGCGGACGCUUAAGUCAGUUGUGAAAGUUUGCGGCUCAACCGUAAAAUUGCAGUUGAUACUGGGUGUCUUGAGUACAGUAGAGGCAGGCGGAAUUCGUGGUGUAGCGGUGAAAUGCUUAGAUAUCACGAAGAACUCCGAUUGCGAAGGCAGCUUGCUGGACUGUAACUGACGCUGAUGCUCGAAAGUGUGGGUAUCAAACAGGAUUAGAUACCCUGGUAGUCCACACAGUAAACGAUGAAUACUCGCUGUUUGCGAUAUACAGUAAGCGGCCAAGCGAAAGCGUUAAGUAUUCCACCUGGGGAGUACGCCGGCAACGGUGAAACUCAAAGGAAUUGACGGGGGCCUGCACAAGCGGAGGAACAUG